rnacentral:lncRNA from 1 species
CAGUCGAUUCACAGAAUAGCUGAUCGAGUAAUUGUCAGUGAAAAUGGUGAAGACUAAAUAACCUGACAGCAAUGGUUGUUUCGUCCUCACUUAACUAAUCUAAUUGGAUAUUGCCGGAGAUUGGUGAAUUAGUAUACAUCUGUUAUUUCAGAAAUGCAAACUUUUUCAUUUGAUGAUUUGAUUUCUAAUGCCAUGUACUUGUUAUGAUACAAAGAUCAAGUAGAGCAUCCAUAUCCGAGAAGAAUCAUAGAUCCUUGUCUCUUCUUUUAUCUACUGAUGGUUUGCAAAAAACCAGUCUUUACCAUGGCUUGGCUUUGAACCUCAGUCUGCAUUCUUUUCCAAAAUGGACUUGCUUCAAAGUUGCGAGCUUUAUAUCGUUUUUCGAGUAGCAAGGGCAUAGUCUCUAGCUCUCUGCUUUGUUGUAUAUAUGCAGAUACCCCGAGUUUCCCCUGAUGAUUUCACUUUUUUCAGACAGCUGCAGAGCUGCAAAAACGUGGGGGACAAACAAGUUCACCAAGGAACUGGAUUUUGUCAAGAAAGAAGCUGCAGAAGCAUUAAAUCAGUAUCCGGGAAACAGAAACUUAGGAAUUCCAGUGUUUAGCUUCAAACUAUAUUACAGGAUGUCAAGAAAACCAGACAAUGCAGUAGCAACCUGGAAACCAAAUUCAUGUAAGCGUAGAAUUUAUGUCUGGUUUUGUCAUCUCCUCCAAGAUUUCAAGAAUAACCCAAAAACAACUGCAAAUCAAAGGAUCGUAAAAACGAAUCAUAUCAUGAGGAUAUGUGCUGGCUAACUUGCAAUGCAGUUUACCUGUAGUGAAACUUUGGCUGAACUGUCCUGUCCGGUCAACUGAGCUACUAACAUCAAAUUUAAGAAGUAGAUCAUAUUUCAAGCAGGCCGGCCAAUAUUAUCAAUCAGAAG